GGCGGGAAGGCGACCUAACAUGUCUAGGAUCGAGCGGAUGAAGGGAGCUUGCUCCUGGAUUCAGCGGCGGACGGGUGAGUAAUGCCUAGGAAUCUGCCUGGUAGUGGGGGAUAACGUCCGGAAACGGGCGCUAAUACCGCAUACGUCCUGAGGGAGAAAGUGGGGGAUCUUCGGACCUCACGCUAUCAGAUGAGCCUAGGUCGGAUUAGCUAGUUGGUGGGGUAAAGGCCUACCAAGGCGACGAUCCGUAACUGGUCUGAGAGGAUGAUCAGUCACACUGGAACUGAGACACGGUCCAGACUCCUACGGGAGGCAGCAGUGGGGAAUAUUGGACAAUGGGCGAAAGCCUGAUCCAGCCAUGCCGCGUGUGUGAAGAAGGUCUUCGGAUUGUAAAGCACUUUAAGUUGGGAGGAAGGGCAGUAAGUUAAUACCUUGCUGUUUUGACGUUACCAACAGAAUAAGCACCGGCUAACUUCGUGCCAGCAGCCGCGGUAAUACGAAGGGUGCAAGCGUUAAUCGGAAUUACUGGGCGUAAAGCGCGCGUAGGUGGUUCAGCAAGUUGGAUGUGAAAUCCCCGGGCUCAACCUGGGAACUGCAUCCAAAACUACUGAGCUAGAGUACGGUAGAGGGUGGUGGAAUUUCCUGUGUAGCGGUGAAAUGCGUAGAUAUAGGAAGGAACACCAGUGGCGAAGGCGACCACCUGGACUGAUACUGACACUGAGGUGCGAAAGCGUGGGGAGCAAACAGGAUUAGAUACCCUGGUAGUCCACGCCGUAAACGAUGUCGACUAGCCGUUGGGAUCCUUGAGAUCUUAGUGGCGCAGCUAACGCGAUAAGUCGACCGCCUGGGGAGUACGGCCGCAAGGUUAAAACUCAAAUGAAUUGACGGGGGCCCGCACAAGCGGUGGAGCAUGUGGUUUAAUUCAAAGCACGCGAAGAACCUUACCUGGCCUUGACAUGCUGAGAACUUUCCAAAGAUGGAUUGGUGCUUCGGGACUCAAACCAGGGGCUGCUGGCUGUCGUCACCUCGGGCCGGGAAAGUUGGGUAAGUCCCG
rnacentral:rRNA from 1 species